GCGCACGUGGCGGAAUUGGUAGACGCGCCAGCUUGAGGGGUUGGUGGACUUUAGUCCGUGGAAGUUCGAGUCUUCUCGUGCGCA
rnacentral:tRNA from 1 species